UGGGGAAUAUUGCACAAUGGGCGAAAGCCUGAUGCAGCGACGCCGCGUGCGGGAUGAAGGCCUUCGGGUUGUAAACCGCUUUUAAUUGGGAGCAAGCGAGAGUGAGUGUACCUUUUGAAUAAGCACCGGCUAACUACGUGCCAGCAGCCGCGGUAAUACGUAGGGUGCAAGCGUUAUCCGGAAUUAUUGGGCGUAAAGAGCUCGUAGGCGGUUUGUCACGCCUGGUGUGAAAGUCCAUCGCUUAACGGUGGAUCUGCGCCGGGUACGGGCAGGCUAGAGUGCAGUAGGGGAGAUUGGAAUUCCCGGUGUAACGGUGGAAUGUGUAGAUAUCGGGAAGAACACCAAUGGCGAAGGCAGAUCUCUGGGCUGUUACUGACGCUGAGGAGCGAAAGCAUGGGGAGCGAACAGGAUUAGAUACCCUGGUAGUCCAUGCCGUAAAACGGUGGAUGCUGGAUGUGGGACCCUUCCACGGGUUCCGUGUCGGAGCUAACGCGUUAAGCAUCCCGCCUGGGGAGUACGGCCGCAAGGC
rnacentral:rRNA from 1 species